UGGUGGUCCAGUGGUAGUGGAUUAUCAGAACUUACUAACAUUAGUCACUUAAGUUGGUAUACAACCCCCACUGCUAAAUUUGGCUCUAA
rnacentral:Y_RNA from 1 species